ACGGUGUAAUCUCUAUUUUUUUUAAGUAGGGAUUGAAAAUAAAUAUUUUAUGUGAGCGAAAAUUUUGAUCAAACUUUUUUUUUUUUUUGGAACGCUAAGAUUCCAAACGUGUUUUUAAGUUUAUAACUUAAAUAAGUGUUUUUAGGUUUAAUCACAUCCCUUAUAUACUAAAGCGCAAGUCGUUUGGCGAAUCAGAGACUGUCAAAUGGAAAAACUUAAAAUAAACAAUAAAAAAACAGAAAAGAAUUGAAUUUCUUUUUGCAUCCUACUUUUAUGUAAUUCAGAUUUUCAUCUACUCUUCUUCCUAUUUUUUCUCAAAAAUCUAAAUCCAAGUUAACUUGAUACUCGAAAACGGUUUUCUUCAUCUUCUAUAUAAAUUGCAAACAUACACUACUAUGUUUUUUUACUUUGCAUCUCUGACAAACAAAAUUUAUACCCCGGCCUCUUCAAUAUUUUUUGGUUUUCAUUUGUUGUUAAAUUAUCAAAACGAAGAACUGCAUCACGUUAUCAAAGGAAGAAAUGGAGAGAACAAAUGUUAAAGAAGAUGACAAGAACCUGGAACUCUGCUCAACCAUCUCAAUAUUUGAUGAAUCAUUGACAACACAAAACAUGAGAUAAAGGUGUGAAGGGGUUAAACGUGAGAUAAAGGUGCUUAGUGGGUGAAAUAUCUAGUUAUAUAAAAAAGAGUUUGAAUCCCUCCUAGACUAUACACGUCGGCAGCCACGUCAUUAAUUCGCGCGCUGACAAGCCAACACGUGUUCCAGUUAAGUGAAACGCAACACUUCACUAAACUAUUUGUUACGUGGGUUUUUAUUUGACAUGGGCCUUCUUUUUGUUCGAUUAUGCCACUCCAUUAAUGUGUAUUUUCAAUUGGAAACGCGGCGUUGAAUGUCUUAGGGUUUUUUUUGCUUCAUCUCCGCCAUUCGAGAAUGAGACAGAACUAGAGUUCUAAGAGAUGUUUCAGCUUCUUAUUGUUAAUUUCUACCAGUUACAGAUUCCCCAUCUUAAAUUCCUUCUAAAAUCAUCACUCACGAUCUACCUUUGAGUUCUUCAUGCAAGGCGGUGUGAUCUCGAUUAUAAAAUGAUGGGUUUUCUGACUGGUGCUCGAAGCCUUGAAGAUUUACCUCUGGUAUAUUGAUUUCUCUUUAUGAAAAAAUUACUCUUCUAAAAGGAUGAGAGCAGUUUUCAGUUUUCAGAAAAUGAUCAUGCUGUUGGAAGCUCAAUAGAGAGCUAGAAGAUGCAGAGCAAAAGGUCACGGAAAUUAGGAAGAAGAUAACAACGUGUGUGAGUUGUCUAUGAUACAAGAACCGGUAACUAAUGGGGGAAAGAAGCUAUGAGUUGAUAACAUCAAUGCUGACAGUGGUUUUUCUGAGACAGAUUAUCCUGGUGACGAUAUUCCUGGAGCUGGAGCUGUGACAACAAAGCUCUCUUAAGGUGUGACCACUGACCAGGGACCUUUUGUAUACCAAGCUUAUACGGAGAAUCACAUCAUCCAUGGCACUACCAAUAGGUCCAUAAAUACGAAGCACUCGGUUGUGGUCGAUGGUUCAGACACGGAGGAGAUUUCUAGGUUAUUUAAUUUUUGUAAGAUGAUCUACCGUAGAAGACAUCAUGCCGUAUCAUUUUAUUAGAACAACACAACUUUUCCUUUGCUGCCUCUUUGUUUGAAUUCGCUUUUGACCAUUACCUUAUGUGCAUGUUCUCCCAACAUAUCAACCAUAUUUUUUAAUUA